rnacentral:lncRNA from 1 species
ACAAUGUGACUCGGAAUGGGAGCUUUGGGUCACACAGCAUCCCUGGAAGCCGAGACCCAACAACCCACUAUGCCUACAGGGUGGGGCCCCAAGGGAAACCCCAAACACAGAGGUUUGGGGGAGCACCCAGUCAAUGCUCCACACAUGGAUGCUGGGAAAGGAAUGCUGCCCUGACUCUGCGGGGAGAGGACCAGGGAAGAUCCACAUUUGGUACUUUCUUCAUCUCUGCACUGUGUGCCGCUUCCUUCGGUUGAUUUUUAUCUGGGCCCUUUAGCUGUAAUAAACCAUAGAUCAAGUAAGGCCAGCCAAGUUCAGCGUAACAGGAGUUUUAUGAGAAGGACCAAGGUAACCUCAAAGCCAAGAGUGACUUCAGGGGGAACACAAGUCUGACGGGAAGGCCAAGUACAGCAGGGAGACUAAGGAGGCGAGAGGGACAGGCGGCAGAGGCAGAGGCCAAAGAUGAGGCCCAUCGGCUCAGUUUUUUGGAAGGCAGGCCCAGACAUGAAAAAAGGAUGCCAGUGCUCUCUCUUCUCCUUCCACACAUCCCGGCUGUGACUCUCAGGCUAACACAACUGCCACACUGUUCACACAGGUUUGCAUGGAUACCCUGUGAAUGCAGCUACUGUUUACCCAUGUACAGCAGGGCCCCUAAGAAAACAUUUGUUGUGAAUCUCCAGUCCUUUCCCUCAGAGCAACCCCAGAAGUCCACUUCCUUAAUGGCCAGGCCCCUGCAGCCACCUCUGGACACCCAGGACAUCCUGGAGACCAGUGCUCAGAAUGACAAGCACGGUCUCCUCAGCCGACCAGACAAGCUUCCACAUACGCAGAAAGGAUUCCAGGGCUGAAAGUGCAGCUUUUUUCAAUUCUACAUUUGUGUGGG